AUUGAACGCUGGCGGCAUGCCUUACACAUGCAAGUCGAACGGCAGCACGGGGCAACCUGGUGGCGAGUGGCGAACGGGUGAGUAAUGCAUCGGAACUUACCUUUCAGUGGGGGAUAACGUAGCGAACGUUCCGCUAAUACCGCAUAUUCUGUGAGCAGGAACGCAGGGGAUAGCAAGACCUUGCGCUGAUUGACGGUCCGAUGUCAUGUUAGCCAGUUGGUGAGGUAAGGCUCACCAAGGCGACGAUCUGUAGCGGGUCUGAGAGGAUGAUCCGCCACACUGGAACUGAGACACGGUCCAGACUCCUACGGGAGGCAGCAGUGGGGAAUUUUGGACAAUGGGGGCAACCCUGAUCCAGCCAUGCCGCGUGAGUGAAGAAGGCCUUCGGGUUGUAAAGCUCUUUCGGCCGGGAAGAAAUCGCACGGGCUAAUACCCUGUGUGGAUGACGGUACCGGAAUAAGAAGCACCGGCUAACUACGUGCCAGCCGCCGCAGUAAUCA
rnacentral:rRNA from 1 species